CUUCUGCAUUCAGGUCUUCAUCUCAGGGGACUGUGGCUGUCAUCUCCUUCCCGCAUGGCCCUGUGCGAAGCCUUUCCCAGCGGUCAGCUGCGGCAUUGAGAGCACUGGUGCUCUGGGGCACAGUGGCGUGCUUCGCGUUCCCUGCCCCCCAGUAGCGGCCUCCCUGACCUAGCAACCUGGUAUAUGGAUAACCCGGCUCGCUGCAGUCAAGUUUCAAAAGAACAUGGUUGGAUAAGCACAAGGCCACCGUUGCUCUGGGAAAUAACCCACAAUGCACGCCCCACUGCUAGGACAGACCCACUUAGGGACAGCUUUGCACCUCCACUGGGUGCAGGCAGGGACAGCUGGGCCCUACCGUCUACUCUUUUUGCUCCAGAUUAGGAAGAAUCUUGAUUCUCCCUGAGCCCAGGGAAUGCAGGGCCGAUGGUCCCCAGGACCCUGAGAGGGACAGGGCAGUGAUGGGAGUCGCGGGGCGGAGGAUGAGGGGAGGGGAGGAAGGGGGCGUGGGGAAGCUCUAUGUCAUCAAACCUUGUCCCUAAAGUCCCUGGGAACCCCCAGGAGCCAACCUCUCCCAGGGGCCGACCUAGGUUUCCCGCAGACAGUCGCACAGUACCCCUCACUCCACUUAAUUCGCUCCGCGUGCUCUGAAUCACAGAAAGGCAAACUUGCUAACAAAGAGGCGGCCCGCCCGCGUGCGGGGUUCCCGGGCGCGUCCCGCUGGCCAGCUGCCCAAUUUCAAGGGUCUGAAGAAGUCCUACUUCUCCGCUUCAGAAGAAUAGUCGCACUGUACACCCACCACAGACAAGUGGAAUGAAACCAGAGGGAAGCAAAGGCACAGAAGGGCGAGGCUGUCUAGAUGGAGAGAGGAAAUCCACCGUGCGGGGACUGUCACUAAGUUUCAUUAAAACCGAAAUGAAGUCAUACAUUCAACCACGUAGACUGUUUUUUUUUCCUUUCCUACUGUUUUUGCCCAUCAGGCAGGCGUGGCCUCUUGUUGGCCAGAAACUCAAAGGUGGAAACUGACACUUAUUUAAC
rnacentral:lncRNA from 1 species